UUAAAAUUAAAAAAGGUUUGCAUAAGGUGUAGGCGUUGGUCAUUAAUAAAACAGUAAAAAAAAAAUUCAUUAUUAAUUUAAGACAUCCUACACGACAAUUUAUAAAAAAUUUGUGGCCAUUAUUUAAUCACUUUGCCCUAACUGUUGAUAAUGAAUCUUUGAAAACUUUCUGGUGCCCAAAAUCAGGCAUUGGCUUCCAAAAGGGCAAAAGACUGUGAAAAAAAUAAACAAAAGCUCCAAGAAUUAGGUUGGUUUUACAAAGCUACUAAUCAAAAUACUGAUUUGAAGGUGAGUUAGUAGAAAUAUAUAGGUCAAUAAAUAUAUUUCUUUUAUUUCCGAAGCAAUUUAAGAAAAAUAAUUAAACAUUUUUUAAGUCGGCGGAAUUAAAUAAAUCAGAACAAACAAUGGAAUCAUCGUAUUAUGAUGAUGUUGAUCUGCAUUCUCUUGGUUCAGUGGAAAAUGAAACAGACGACAGUUUUAACGAUAAAUUAAAACCCGAAGAAAAUAAAGGCGUUGAAAAUGACCCAGCACUCUGGCCAUCGAUUCUUAAGCAAAGAGAAAAAGAAGAGUCAAUCAAAAAAGGUCCGUCAACUUUACCUGAUGAUUUCCCACGAGAUGCUUCUAAUAACAGGGCCUUUCCAAAAGAAGUUCUUUUCAUUGCAUUGCCUAAUGGAGAAAAAGUUCAACGAGAUUAUCUGAUAUAGAGCCCAUUCCCUUGGAGCCCAUGGAGUCUAACUCUCUACUUUGAUUCCCGUGUUCUUUAUUUGGGUGUGAAAAUUCCGGAUCCUAUGGAGAUCGAUCUCUUCUUUUUCGCUGAAAUGGAGGAAUAAAAAAUGACUGGAGAAAAUUGAGUGAUCGUAUCAAAAGUCAUCAUAGCAACCCAGUUCAUCAAAGCCAUUAUCUCAAUUGGAAGACUUUGCACUCAGCUCUUGUCGAUCAGCGCGGGAUCGACUCAGAGAGAGCCAAAAGGCACUAGAAAAGGAAGAAGCCAGAUGGCGUGAAAUACUUCGUUGUAUUUUAGAUGCAAUUUUAUUUUUAACAUCUCAAAACUUAUCCUUUAGAGGGCAAUAUUCGUCGAUGGAGAAGAACGAGAAAGGGAACUUUUUAAGUUGCCUUGAACUUAUUUCUCGUCACAACUAAACAUUAAAGAAUCAUCUUGAAACAGAUGCUCGUCAUCAAAAUAAAGGAACCAGAAUGGUUCCUUUAUUUUCCUUCUAUGUCAAGUAUAUGUAUAUGUAUA